ACGAAGGGUGCAAGCGUUAGUCGGAAUUACUGGGCGUAAGGCGUGCGUAGGCGGUCUCUUAAGUCCGUUGUGAAAGCCCUGGGCUCAACCUGGGAACUGCAGUGGAUACUGAGAAGCUAGAGUGUGUCAGAGGAUGGUGGAAUUCCCGGUGUAGCGGUGAAAUGCGUAGAUAUCGGGAGGAACGCCAGUGGCGAAGGCGGUCACCUGGGCCGUCCCUGACGCUGAGACGCGAAAGCUGGGGGAGCGAACGGGA
rnacentral:rRNA from 1 species